AUACCCAGGACGAUACAUUUCAUAUAUAGAAACUCUGAUCGGAUAUACGGCUUUAUCAAACUCGAGAUCUUCAAAAUUAAUGGAGGAUAUUGAGAUUUUGAAACCACCAGAUUGCUGUAUUAAAAAAGUCAAAACAUGCCGAAUGUUACAAAAUAUGGAUCCCCAAUUAACUUCUUAGAUAUAUCUUUUACAAUUUGUUUGCUAGAACUGUCCUUUUUGAUGUACUCCUGAUCUUGGCCUAAUGAAAUGUUAUAUCUGCUCCUGCUGUCCUUGACAAAUUGUGGUACAGCUCUAUCUUCAUCAACUUCAGGAUAUCGGUACAUAGAGAUAAAUAAAGAAACUGCAGGAUUAUUGUGUUAUGCUGAUCGUGGAAGAAAGUUGCAGAUGAGUUUUAAAAAAUUCCUUUAUGUAAUCUCAAAAGUUUGAUUAAUGUCUGUUGCG